CGUAGGUGGAUUGUUAAGUCAGUUGUGAAAACUCCGGGCUCAACCUGGAGACUGCACUUGAAACUGGGUGUCUUGAGGGCAGGAGAGGAAAGUGGAAUUCCUAGUGUAGCGGUGAAAUGCGUAGAUAUUAGGAGGAACACCAGUGGCGAAGGCGACUUUCUGGACUGUACCUGACGCUGAGGCGCGAAAGCGUGGGUAGCGAACGG
rnacentral:rRNA from 1 species